UCUCCGCUCACUUCCUCAUCCUGCCGGCUCGUGAGAAGAUCCUGUUUUUUGGUUCAGCUUCGCCGGGAUGGCGCACACCACGGCAGAGGCAGGGUGUUUGUUGCAGGACAAGAACCGCUGUCCGCUUUGGUUCGUCGUGAGAAGAGGGAGAUGCCCCGAGUCCCUCCAACCCCUCCCGGGCUCCAGACACUGUCCGGCUCUUUGGGGACUGUCCUGCUUUGCCUUCGUAGCCCCUCGCACACGGGGCUGCUGGCUUGAAGGCACAGUUUCUCUGCUGCAAUUCCAAUAAUAAGCUGAGACACCCGUAGGAAUGUGGCAUCUCCGGUGCCCUCGCUCCCAGGUGCGGAGGCAGCUCUUCAAGCUCUGUGGCCACGUCCUCACUCACAAACCAGGCUUAAACCGGUUAUUAAACCUUUCUGAUGUCCAGGCUGGCGGAUCCAGGCGUGGUUGGGCCAGUGAUGCUGCUCUUCUCGAUGAGUCUAAUGCUAAAAGCAUUGUGCAGUGACCAGGGCUGCCUGGGGCUAAGUCUCCUCUUCCAAUUUCUAUCCCAAAGCUUUUCCUUUCCAUGGAUAUAGCAGGAGUGGUUUAAGAGCUGACUUACUGCUCCCGCUCCACCUGAAGCCGUAACCCUCUCUGGGGACGAGCAAGUGCCACCGUCCCCCUGCCCCUUCGGCUUCGAUGGCUUGUGGCGAGGCGCCCAGGAGGGCGGUGAGCGGAUGCGCUUGUGGGGAGCAGCCGGCGUGAGAAAAGCAAGUCCUGUAGCUCUGACGAAGCCUUUUAGGCUGGUCGCAACAGCUUGUCUGGAGGCAAAAAGCACCUGGAGAUGUUGCUGGGCCGGUCCACGCUUGGAAGCGUGGCUGCUCCACGAAACGGCUGCGAUUCCCCCAAAACUGAUGCAGAAAAACACCUCCUUCCCCCUGGAAUCGGGGUGGGCCCAGAGGCGGAUCUCAACCCAUCCCCACGGCAUCACGAAACACCUCUGGGGCUCCACGCUUAGGGUGAUGAUCCCCCCAAACCCUGCCCCGAUCCGAGAAAUCAAGGACACCCCAGACAGUGCCAGGUUGGGACCAUCCGGCCAGUUUUAUUUUAGGCGCUGCCUCUGCAACCAGCUCGGCCGCUGCGGCUGUUCGCGGGGCGCAGCAGCAGCGAGCGGAGCGGCCGGAGCGCUUUCCAGGCAGCCACCCAACGCCGUGGCCACUCGCCGCAGUCCCAAACCCCUAAAAAAAGCCCCCAGAAAACCCUGCGGAGCCCUGGAUGGAGGCAACGUAAUGAAAAACCAAAAUGCAUCGCGUGGUGUGAGGCGGCCGGGGGCUCUGAACCAGGGCGUGGCCGAGCGUCCCUGGCACGGCGGGACGGGAACAACCAUCACGCGGCUCAGCCUCUUGCCACAUCGUGUGAAACCGCGCCAGGGCACGGUAUCGCUCGCAAAACAGAAACCUCUGCAACUCAUUUUGAUCCCCCCCCCCUUUUUUCUUUUAUGUGUGUAUGUAUAUAUAUAUAUAUAAUAUAUAUAACCUUGUGAUACUGGUAGUUAAGCCACCGGCAUAACGAUGUCAGAUACAAACAGCUCUAAAAUCAAGAGUAAAAAUGACACAGUC